rnacentral:rRNA from 1 species
UACGUAGGGGCCUAGCGUUGUCCGGAAUUAUUGGGCGUAAAGAGCUCGUAGGCGGUCUGUUGCGUCCGCUGUGAAAACUCGGGGCUUAACCCCGAGCGUGCAGUGGAUACGGGCAGACUAGAGGUAGGUAGGGGAGAAUGGAAUUCCCGGUGUAGCGGUGAAAUGCGCAGAUAUCGGGAGGAACACCGGUGGCGAAGGCGGUUCUCUGGGCCUUACCUGACGCUGAGGAGCGAAAGCGUGGGGAGCGAACAGG